rnacentral:rRNA from 1 species
AUUGAACGCUGGCGGCAUGCCUUACACAUGCAAGUCGAACGGCAGCACGGGGGCAACCCUGGUGGCGAGUGGCGAACGGGUGAGUAAUGCAUCGGAACGUACCCGGAAGUGGGGGAUAACGUAGCGAAAGUUACGCUAAUACCGCAUGUUCUGUGAGCAGGAAAGCAGGGGAUCGCAAGACCUUGCGCUUUCGGAGCGGCCGCUGUCGGAUUAGCUAGUUGGUGGGGUAAAGGCUUACCAAGGCGACGAUCCGUAGCUGGUCUUAGAGGAUGAUCAGCCACACUGGGACUGAGACACGGCCCAGACUCCUACGGGAGGCAGCAGUGGGGAAUUUUGGACAAUGGGGGCAACCCUGAUCCAGCCAUGCCGCGUGAGUGAAGAAGGCCUUCGGGUUGUAAAGCUCUUUCGGACGGAAAGAAAUCGCCAUCUCUAACAUAGGUGGUGGAUGACGGUACCGUCAUAAGAAGCACCGGCUAACUACGUGCCAGCCGCCGCGGUAA